rnacentral:rRNA from 1 species
AACGAACGCUGGCGGCAGGCUUAACACAUGCAAGUCGAGCGCCCCGCAAGGGGAGCGGCAGACGGGUGAGUAACACGUGGGAAUCUACCCAUCCCUACGGAACAACUCCGGGAAACUGGAGCUAAUACCGUAUACGCCCUUUGGGGGAAAGAUUUAUCGGGGAUGGAUGAGCCCGCGUCGGAUUAGCUAGUUGGUGGGGUAAAGGCCUACCAAGGCGACGAUCCGUAGCUGGUCUGAGAGGAUGAUCAGCCACACUGGGACUGAGACACGGCCCAGACUCCUACGGGAGGCAGCAGUGGGGAAUAUUGGACAAUGGGCGCAAGCCUGAUCCAGCCAUGCCGCGUGAGUGAUGAAGGCCUUAGGGUUGUAAAGCUCUUUCGCCAGGGACGAUAAUGACGGUACCUGGAUAAGAAGCCCCGGCUAACUUCGUGCCAGCCGCCGCGGUAAAAC